rnacentral:rRNA from 1 species
GAUGAACGCUGGCGGCGUGCCUAAUACAUGCAAGUCGAGCGAAUGGAUUAAGAGCUUGCUCUUAUGAAGUUAGCGGCGGACGGGUGAGUAACACGUGGGUAACCUGCCCAUAAGACUGGGAUAACUCCGGGAAACCGGGGCUAAUACCGGAUAACAUUUUGAACCGCAUGGUUCGAAAUUGAAAGGCGGCUUCGGCUGUCACUUAUGGAUGGACCCGCGUCGCAUUAGCUAGUUGGUGAGGUAACGGCUCACCAAGGCAACGAUGCGUAGCCGACCGGAGGGGGUGAUCGGCCAGACUGGGACGGAGACACGGCCCAGACUCCUACGGGAGGCAGCAGUGGGGAAUCUUCCGCAAUGGACGAAAGUCUGACGGAGCAACGCCGCGUGAGUGAUGAAGGCUUUCGGGUCGUAAAACUCUGUUGUUAGGGAAGAACAAGUGCUAGUUGAAUAAGCUGGCACCUUGACGGUACCUAACCAGAAAGCCACGGCUAACUACGUGCCAGCCGCCGCAGUAA